UACUUUUUUCAAGAAAAUGUGUACGAACAUUGCCUGCUCGUCGCUAUCAGAUACAAAACCGAAAUCGCACACGCGGCGUUGUCAAAAGCCUACCGUCAGCGCAUCACGAGGCAGAGCAGAACAUUUCUUCGGUUGGCUUGUCGACGACAACGCGCCACUUUCAUUAUAAAACUAAUUCAAAAGAGUGGUUCGAGAUAUUCAGCUGACGGCAACAUGGUUUUGACGUUCCAGAGACUUACGUACGUCGCUGGACCAACUGGCGAAGUGAUAGUUGAGGCGUGGGCCUCAACUCCGGUCGCGAUGUUUGCGGAAUAGUGUCGUGUUGUGCAUAGACGGUCAAGUAGCUGAGUGUCGACGAUAUUCACUGUGUGUAUAAUUUAUUUCCAUUGUGUGAAGAGGCCGCAGCGUGAAGACUGCAAGGACACGAGCCUGGGCUUCGCUGACUAGACUUAGCCAGCCCUCCAGUCACUGCUUCUCAUUUUUGUUGCAAUGUAAGAUGUGUCCGUGCCUACUACAGUGCAUCCAGGAAGACUUGUGCUUUAGACUUUUCCAGAAAUGAGUCGCACCAGCUUUUUGGAAAGCAUCGGCCUGUUUGCCCUGCAAUAAGGCAUAGCAGUUUGAUUUGUUAUUGGUUUAACUGUGUGACGGUGAUGCGACUGUGUUUGCCGACUGACGCCUCUGGUUCGUUAGGUUGCAAAAAGUAAAACUGCACAUUUCUUUGCUGCUUUUAUGUGUCUAUUGGAAUCAUGGUAAAAAGAACAUGUUUUAUUGCAAUGACAAAGUUGUAAUUAUAGAGCUAAAGAAAAGAGCCACUGCAAUGUACUGGUAGAGAAUGUAGUUUCCUCAAGGUAACACACGGGAUGGAAUUGUAUCUGUUUUCACAGAUCUGUUCAACAGAGUGCACAUUUAUGUGGAAGUGUUGCUGAAACAUAUUAAUUGUAGCUAACUUGCCUCAACAGUUUGCAGUGGCAUUUAAUUUUCACCGCACGAAGGAAAUGUUACACAAAGUAAUUUGAUUAUGUAGGCAUAUCAAGAUAGCUUGCCAAAUCUUUGCUCUACAUACAGCCAUUGUAUGCAUUCAGGGUAAUGAGUUAUGUAAAGUGAUAUGGUGAGUUAUCUAUUCAUGUGUGUGCAUGGUGGUGUCAGUGACCAAAAACAGCAAUUGGUGAAUAAAUUACUUCCAGCAUUCCGUAGUUGCAUAUUGCUAUGAUUGAAACAAUAAAAAUACAAUCGCGGAAAAUGUGUACAGUGCAUUAGUAGACACAAACAAUUCUUUGUUCAAUGUACGGUGUGUUCUUCACUAGCAAACGUGGUGCCAUUCUAACCUCUAAAAAUGCUGUGGUCGUUUUUCUCAGUUUCAUGUGUUAGUUUUCUCGCAUAUUAUUUUAUUUCAUUCACAUUUAUAUUUAAUUUCAUAUGCUUCAUGUGAUGUUGAUCACUUUCAUCACUUAAAACUAUGACUGGCAUACAAGUAGCAUUAAAUCAUCCCUCAGCAUCCCUAGUCUAACACUUUGUAGGAAGAUUUCACAACUUUCCCUUUUCCACUUCCUUUUCUACUUCCACCCAACUGCACUUCUCACCAUCUGUUUAACAACCUGAGUCUACAACAUCUGCAUGGUUCCUCUAAUGCCUUCAACAAACCUUUCUUAUCUACUGCUAUUGAAUUGUGGAAUGUACUGCCGAACAGUAUAGUAAAUGAAAGUGAUUGAGAUAAAUUUAGGCACCUAUGUUCAUGUUUUUUAAACCCUUAACUUACCACUGCUGUGCUGUUAACUCUAACGUCUACCACCUUUUUUUUUUUUACUGCUCUGUUAUACUGCCAGUUUGUACCUUUUUUUAUUUUUUCUUGCUCAUUAUUUUCUAGCAUGUAUACUAAGUUCUGUUUACCAUUGUAUAAAUAAGUUAACCAUUGUAUAAUAAUGACCAUAGUGUUUAUCGAUGCAUUUGUCCCCCACCCGCUCCCCUUAUGUAAUACCCUGAAAGGGGUCCUUAAGGGACAAUAAAUGAUGAUGAUGUGUUCAAACAUCAGUUGACGCUUUUGUUCUGCCGAAUUGUGAUGUGAGAAAAGUGUCAUUUUAGUUUAAUAGGAGAGUGUGCAAUGCAGCGUUAAAUACAUGGAGUAAUUUUACUAUUUAGGCAUGAUAGCAAAAUUGCACACCAAAUUCGACCUUUGUGCAUUGCUACCAGGAGUUUGUACGCAUACAGCAUAGUUAUUUAUGUAUAGAGAGAUAGAAACUUGUGUGAGACAUGUACUGCCAUCAUUGCACUAUUGCCACAACAGUAAUACAUGGUUGGAGUAGUCCCAAGAUUUUUCAUGUAUGUUUCCUACAAGCAUGGCAAUCUUUUUUUGAUUGCCAGGUGUAGAACUUUAGUUCCGUGCGUGAUGCAUUAUUUGCAUUGCCUUCUCGGGCUCCUUGUGACUUUGCAGGUUCCUUGUCGUCGGGGUCCCUGGCGCAAGAUCAGUUGCUUGUGUCAAUGCGUGGCCGGCUGUAUUCGUGCCAGCUGUGUGCUUACAGGACUACCGACAAGACGUACAUGAAGGAACACUUGCGCACGCACACAGGCGAGCGCCCCUUCAAGUGCCACCUGUGUCCAGCUGCAUUCUCUCGCAGUUUCGCCCUCAAACGGCACGUGCGCAGCCACACAGGCGAGCGUUACUACAAGUGCCACCUGUGCCCGGACGCAUUCGUUAGCAGUUCCAUCCUUUAUCGGCAUGUGCGCUGUCACACAGUGAAGCAUCCUUUUCGCUGCGUGCACUGCAGUGCAACCUUCUUGCGGGAGCACUACCUCAUCAGCCACAUGUCCUGCCACAAAGGGAAGGAGCCCUGAAGGACAAGAGAUGCAGCUUCUUUUUUUUUUUUUUAUCAGCCAGUUGAUAAAUUUCGUAAUGCCAGCAGGUGAUUUAUAAACAGCACUGAGAGGUUUUCAGGUUCCUGAACCAUAGAGUUGCUUGUAGUGUUACACAGACGGAAGUUGCCCUUCAGGAAUAGUGCCUCUGGUAAGGUGUUCUGUCAUUUCGGCCGGAUAUUCAUAACUAAGUUACAAAUAAAAAAUAGAUUCCAGUCAGCUCGCAAAUUUCUUGCUGCGUAGAAGUGCUGCUUUGGGUAUGUUUGUGAAUUUGUCACCUUGGUCUCCAAUAGAUCACACACACCAUUUAUUUAAAAUUUGGCGAGGACAGGCAACACUGACAUCUUGACCGCAAACGCCACAUGCAAACCCUAAAGAUGGUGUCUCCCAGCUGUAGUGCUCUCUGUUGUGGCCUCUGGCAAGACAUUCAUCGAAAACACGGUGGACGAGAAAUGGUUGAAAUAUAAGGUUCCUGCUCUCCUUCGCAUGCAUCCCUGGUUGUGCAAGUUUCCUUUAUUUUUUCCUCCUAGCUCCCUACAGCAACAGCAGGGUGCAUGUGGUUGCCUCAUACUUGGUGGUCCCUCCUGCCUGCAUUUCACUCUCCCUCUUUCAAACCCUCUCCUGUCUGCUUUCCUUUCUUUUUUUCCCCUUAGCACGAGUUGUCAUAACAGCUUGUCAUUGGAAUAUAGAGUAAAACGUCGAUUAAUGAACCUCAGUAUACCCAAGUUCUCACUAUAAAGAAAUGUAAAUUUUUAUAAGUUCUUGUGUAUAAAACACCAUUUAUAUUGAAUUUCAAUACAAUGAAGUGUGUUUGUGCACAAUUUAGAUGUUUGGUAUAACAAAAUUGUCCAGGCAGUAAGUGGAAAUUGCUGUAGAUGCAUACGAUUAAGAGGUUGAAUUAUGUGUAGCUGCUUGCAUGAAGGUGCUCAUUUUACGAGCUUUGUUAUAUCAAGGUGCAACUGCAUAACGAAUGGCAUGUUUGUUUUAACAAGCUUCAAAAAUAUCUUUCUCCUUUAUAUUGCUUGUUUAUUGGCACUCCAAUUCUGCAAUGAGGUAGCACUUUUUCUUCUUGUGUUUUUCAUAGUGUUUAAUAUAUCUGCUCACCUGGUUCACCUGGAAAGUAAAAAAAGGGAAUCACCACCUGCCCAGUCGCAAUUAAAGAUGUAAUCGAACAAGGUAAACAAUGCCAAGCAUUUUAUCAGUAAAGUACAGGCAAACAAAAAUGCACUAUCUGGUAGUGAAACCUCUGUAAAACAAAGCAGCAAUACAACCAAACUCACUAAAAAUAAAAUCCAGAAGGAACUUCAAAACUGAUGCUACUGCAACAUUUUCAUUGUCGCCUUCUUCACCAUUGAAUAACACCUUUUUCUUGCUUGCACAGCUCAGCAGUCGCACACAGUGUUCAAUGUUGUCUACAGGGGUGUGACAAUAUUAUCAUUGUUGUGUACUUAGUAGAAUGAAUUUUAUGCUUCCUAACAAUACGCACAUAGUGCAAAAGUUCAUUUUGCAACUUAUGCUGUCCUGAUGCAUUGCUGACUUGCCACACUGAGCAUUUUGCACACUCCGCAUUUCGUCACUUGGGCUCAUCGAUUGUUUCCGGAAGUCUGGUGGUCAGUGAAGUUGACUUUCGGCUAUUUCCCAAUGAUUAGCCAAGCACAGGCAAUCAGCCAAGGUUAUUUGCAGUUGGUCAGGGUUACUUGGGACCAUCAUUCCCAUGGUAGUAUAAUGAUCAUAGUGCCAGAGUUCGCUCUAGUAAUUUUUAUAGGAAACUCUAUGGGCAGUGGAAUUCCUGAAAUGCCAAUGAUGAUGUUUAGUAAUGUCAUGUGGAUACUGAGAAAAGCUGGUGUAUGCUCUUUAGGGGCUUGAAAUGUAGAUAGCAGUACGUGUUGCCUGCCCAAAUGAACUGCCAAGAUGUGCAGGCGUCCAGACGGGUAAACAUUCAAGGUGUGCAUAUAUGUACUGAUGGCAAAUGGUUCAAAUGAAUUGACAACAGUGUCUGUCACAGGUUUACUGCAAUAUACACAAGAAUCCAUAAAUUUCUAUUAAGGUAACGUAUCACAACCUUUGGGGCUGCGCUGUGAAUCCCCAGAGUACUGCGAGCUUUGGACUGUGGCAGCCUGUUUUAUUGUUUCAGUUUUUUUUUCAUCAAUUACCGAUGUUUUCUUUCUUUAAUUUGCAUCAAGUAUUUUGUAUGGAAAGCUGUUGCAUACAAAUGUGCAAUUGUCAUUUUAGUUUUUAGCGGCAUUGCAAGGUGCCAUCCUUGAUUGAUUGGAGAAUGUACUUAUCGGUGAAGCUGCUGGUUCUUCAAUGUAAAGUGGUACACGUGUUAAAUGGAUACAUUCAAUAAAGGGCCUAUGUUAGGAGCUA